UACGAAGGGGGCUAGCGUUGCUCGGAAUCACUGGGCGUAAAGGGUGCGUAGGCGGGUCUUUAAGUCAGGGGUGAAAUCCUGGAGCUCAACUCCAGAACUGCCUUUGAUACUGGCGGUCUUGAGUCCGGGAGAGGUGAGUGGAACUGCGAGUGUAGAGGUGAAAUUCGUAGAUAUUCGCAAGAACACCAGUGGCGAAGGCGGCUCACUGGCCCGGUACUGACGCUGAGGUGCGAAAGCGUGGGGAGCAAACAGG
rnacentral:rRNA from 1 species